GGUUCCGUGGCCCAAUGGAUAAGGCGCCUGACUUCGGAUCAGGCGAUUGCGGGUUCGAGUCCCGCCGGAAUCU
rnacentral:tRNA from 1 species